UAGAGUUUGAUCCUGGCUCAGGAUGAACGCUGGCGGCGUGCCUAACACAUGCAAGUCGAGCGAGGAGGAGGAAGCUUGCUUCCAAAUCCUAGCGGCGGACGGGUGAGUAACGCGUGGGCAACCUACCCUGUACAGGGGGAUAACAAUGGGAAACCAUUGCUAAUACCCCAUAAUACCUUUUAGGGGCAUCCCUUAAAGGUCAAAGAAUUUCGGUACAGGAUGGGCCCGCGUCUGAUUAGCUAGUUGGUGAGGUAAUGGCUCACCAAGGCGACGAUCAGUAGCCGGCCUGAGAGGGUGAACGGCCACACUGGAACUGAGACACGGUCCAGACUCCUACGGGAGGCAGCAGUGGGGAAUAUUGCACAAUGGGCGAAAGCCUGAUGCAGCAACGCCGCGUGAGCGAUGAAGGCUUUCGAGUCGUAAAGCUCUGUCCUAAGGGAAGAUAAUGACGGUACCUUAGGAGGAAGCCCCGGCUAACUACGUGCCAGCAGCCGCGGUAAUA
rnacentral:rRNA from 1 species